UAAUAAGCAAACCCAAUAUUA
rnacentral:piRNA from 1 species